rnacentral:rRNA from 1 species
UUAGAGUUUGAUCCUGGCUCAGGAUGAACGCUAGCGGGAGGCUUAACACAUGCAAGUCGAGGGGUAACAGAGGUAGCAAUACUUGCUGACGACCGGCGUACGGGUGAGUAACGCGUAUGCAACCUGCCCUAUACAGGAGGAUAGCCCGAAGAAAUUCGGAUUAAUACUCCAUGCAGCAUAUUUUUCGCAUGAUAAAUAUGUUAAAGAUUUAUCGGUAUAGGGUGGGCAUGCGUCCCAUUAGUUAGUUGGUGAGGUAAUGGCUCACCAAGGCUUCGAUGGGUAUGGGGUCUAAAAGGAUGGUCCCACACACUGGCACUGAGACACGGGCCAGACUCCUACGGGAGGCAGCAGUGAGGAAUAUUGGUCAAUGGGCGAGAGCCUGAACCAGCCAUCCCGCGUGCAGGAUGACAGUCCUAGUGAUUGUAAACUGCUUUUCUAUAAGAUGAAUAAGGACUACGUGUAGUUCGAUGACCGUAUUAUAGGAAUAAGCAUCGGCUAACUCCGUGCCAGCAGCCGCGGUAAUACGGAGGAUGCAAGCGUUAUCCGGAUUUAUUAGGUUUAAAGGGUGCGUAGGCUGUUUUGUAAGUCAGCGGUGAAAGACCGGGGCCCAACUCCGGAAGUGCCGUUGAUACUGCAUUGCUAGAGUUCCCCUGCCGUGGGAGGAAUGAGUGGUGUAGCGGUGAAAUGCAUAGAUAUCACUCAGAACACCGAUUGCGAAGGCAGCUUACUAAGCCAUAACUGACGCUCAAGCACGAAGGCGUGGGGAUCAAACAGGAUUAGAUACCCUGGUAGUCCACGCAGUAAACGAUGAUUACUGGCUGUUUGCGAUAUAUUGUAAGCGGCUGAGCGAAAGCGUUAAGUAAUCCACCUGGGGAGUACGUUCGCAAGAAUGAAACUCAAAGGAAUUGACGGGGGCCCGCACAAGCGGAGGAACAUGUGGUUUAAUUCGAUGAUACGCGAGGAACCUUACCCGGGCGUGAAUUGCAUCUGAAUAUAUUGGAAACUUUAUAGCCAGCGAUGGCAGAUGUGAAGGUGCUGCAUGGUUGUCGUCAGCUCGUGCCGUGAGGUGUAGGCUUAAGUGCCAUAACGAGCGCAACCCUCAUUGUUAGUUACCAUCAGGUAGUGCUGGGGACUCUAACAAGACUGCCGGCGUAAGCUGUGAGGAAGGUGGGGAGGACGUCAAAUCAGCACGGCCCUUACAUCCAGGGCUACACACGUGUUACAAUGGCCGGUACAAAGGGCAGCUACACAGCGAUGUGAUGCUAAUCUCCAAAUCCGGUCUCAGUUCGGAUCGAAGUCUGCAACCCGACUUCGUGAAGCUGGAUUCGCUAGUAAUCGCGCAUCAGCCAUGGCGCGGGGAAUACGUUCCCGGGCCUUGCACACACCGCCCGUCA